rnacentral:rRNA from 1 species
UGGGGAAAUAUUGCACAAUGGGCGAAAGCCUGAUGCAGCAACGCCGCGUGAGCGAAGAAGGUCUUCGGAUCGUAAAGCUCUGUCCUUGGGGAAGAUAAUGACGGUACCCUUGGAGGAAGCCCCGGCUAACUACGUGCCAGCAGCCGCGGUAAUACGUAGGGGGCAAGCGUUAUCCGGAAUUAUUGGGCGUAAAGAGUGCGUAGGUGGUUACCUAAGCAGGGGGGUGAAAGGCAAUGGCUUAACCAUUGUUAGCCCCCCUGAACUGGGCUACUUGAGUGCAGGAGAGGAAAGCGGAAUUCCUAGUGUAGCGGUGAAAUGCGUAGAUAUUAGGAGGAACA